rnacentral:rRNA from 1 species
GAUGAACGCUGGCGGCGUGCCUAACACAUGCAAGUCGAACGGAGAUUAGACGCUGAUGAGGCUUCGGCGGAAUCUUGUUUAAUCUUAGUGGCGGACGGGUGAGUAACGCGUGGGCAACCUGCCUCAUACUGGGGGAUAACAGUUGGAAACGGCUGUUAAUACCGCAUAAGCGCACAGUGUCGCAUGACACAGUGUGAAAAACUCCGGUGGUAUGAGAUGGGCCCGCGUCAGAUUAGCCAGUUGGCGGGGUAACGGCCCACCAAAGCGACGAUCUGUAGCCGGCCUGAGAGGGCGGACGGCCACAUUGGGACUGAGACACGGCCCAAACUCC